GACGAACCGUACGAACGUUAUUCGGAAUUACUGGGCUUAAAGGGUGCGUAGGCGGCGCAGUAAGUUGGGUGUGAAAUCCCUCGGCUUAACCGAGGAAUUGCGCCCAAAACUACUGUGCUCGAGGGAGGUAGAGGUGAGCGGAACUUAGGGUGGAGCGGUGAAAUGCGCAGAUAUCAGGAGGAACACCAAUAGCGGAGGCAGCUCGCUGGGACGUUACUGACACUGAGGCGCGAAAGCGUGGGGAGCGAACAGG
rnacentral:rRNA from 1 species